rnacentral:rRNA from 1 species
GACGAACGCUGGCGGCGUGCUUAAUACAUGCAAGUCGAACGGAAAGGCGCUGCUCUUGUGUGGUGCUCGAGUGGCGAACGGGUGAGUAACACGUGAGUAACCUGCCCUUGUAUUUGGGAUAACUUCUGGAAAAUCGGGCGAAUACCGGAUAGGAGCUCCUGCUGCAUGGGGGUGGUUGGAAAGUGUCGGCUGUUGGGGAUGGACUCGAGGCUUAUCAGCUUGUUGGGGAGGUAGUGGCUUACAAAGGCUUUGACGGAUAGCCGGCCUGAGAGGUUGAACAGCCACAAUGGGACUACGAGACGGACCAGACUCCUACGGGCGGCAGCAGUGGGGAGUAUGACGCAGUGGGCGGACGUCUGAUACAGAAACGCCGCGUGCGUGAUGCCCUCCUACGGGGUAUAAACAGCUUUCUCAUGUGACGAAGCGUGCGUGACGGUACUGAGUCAGGAAGCACCGGCUAACUACGUG